GGGUUAGUAACGCGUGGGAACGUACCCUUCUCUAGGGAAUAGCCACUGGAAACGGUGAGUAAUACCUUAUACGCCCUUCGGGGGAAAGAUUUAUCGGAGUUGGAUCGGCCCGCGUUAGAUUAGAUAGUUGGUGGGGUAAUGGCCUACCAAGUCUACGAUCUAUAGCUGGUUUGAGAGGAUGAUCAGCAACACUGGGACUGAGACACGGCCCAGACUCCUACGGGAGGCAGCAGUAGGGAAUCUUAGACAAUGGGCGCAAGCCUGAUCUAGCGAUGCCGCGUGUGUGACGAAGGCCUUAGGGUCGUAAAGCACUUUCGCCAGGGAUGAUAAUGACAGUACCUGGUAAAGAAACCCCGGCUAACUCCGUGCCAGCAGCCGCGGUAAUACGGAGGGGGUUAGCGUUGUUCGGAAUUACUGGGCGUAAAGCGCACGUAGGCGGAUUGGAAAGUUGGGGGUGAAAUCCCGGGGCUCAACCCCGGA
rnacentral:rRNA from 1 species